GCAGUAAUCAUAUGCUUGUCUCAAAGAUUAAGCCAUGCAUGUCUAAGUACAAGCCGCGUACGCGGCGAGACUGCGGACGGCUCAUUAAAUCGGUUAUGAAUCCACUGGGGACAGACCUACCCGUGGAUAACGUGCGGUAACUCCGGUGCUAAUACAUGCAACAAGGCUCCGACCCCGUCUCCGGGCGGGGGAAGGGCGCACUUAUUAGGCGAAAACCAAUCGCUCGCUCGCGGGCGUUGGUGGACGACACCCGAGUAAUUGCCGCCGAUCGCACGGCCUCCGAGCCGGCGACACCUUCACUGAGUUUCUGAUCUAUCAUGCUGUCGACGGUUGGUGCCAUGCCAACCGUGGCGUUAACGGAUAACAGAGAAUCUGGGUUCGAUUCUGGAGAGGCCGCAUGAGAAACGGCGACCACUUCUAAGGAAGGCAGCAGGCACGCAAAUUACCCACUUCGGACACCGAGAGGUAGUGACGAACAAUACCGAUGCGGCGCACAUUCGUGUCGCCGUAAUCGGAAUGAGUACACUUCAAAUCCUUUAACGAGGAUCCACUGGAGGGCAAGCCUGGUGCCAGCAGCCGCGGUAAUUCCAGCUCCAGCAGCGUAUAUUUAUAUUGCUGCGUUUAAAAAGCUCGUAGUUGAAGCGUCAGACGCGGGAGGGCGGACGGCCGCACUGGUCGCUCUCGCCCGACCGAGCCAGGCGCAGAGGGCGCACGUCGCUUGCACUUCGCCGUGUGAGCGCGUCGCUACUGCACGUUCACCUUGAAGAAAUUGAACCGCUUAGAGGGGGCGAGCAGCUUGUACAGCUCAGCAUGGUAUGAUGGAAGACGGGCUCGUACUCAUUUUGUUGGUUAGAGAGUCGGCGAGCCAAUGAUUAACAGGGACUGCCGGGGGCAUUCGUACUCGGACGGGAGAGGUGAAAUUCAAGGAUCGUCCGAAGACGCCCUACUGCGAAAGCAUUUGCCAAGAAUGUUUUCAUUAAUCAAGAACGAAAGUCAGAGGUGCGAAGGCGAUCAGAUACCGCCGUAGUUCUGACCGUAAACGAUGCCGACUGGCAAUUGGGCGCACUUCUGUCGAAGUUGCCGCCAGCAGUAUUGCCCGGGAAACCAAAGUCAUUGGGUUCCGGGGGGAGUAUGGUUGCAAAGCUGAAACUUAAAGGAAUUGACGGAAGGGCACCACCAGGAGUGGAGCCUGCGGCUUAAUUUGACUCAACACGGGAAACCUCACCCGGCCCGAACACUGUUAUGACAGACAGGUUGAGAGCUCUUUCUCGAUUCAGUGGUUGGUGGUGCAUGGCCGUUCUUAGUUCGUGGAGCGAUCUGUCUGGUUAAUUCCGAUAACGAACGAGACUCUUGCCUGCUAAAUAGACGGCGUCGACUUGAGCCGGCGACCGUUCGCUUCUUAGAGGGACAAGCGGCUUUUAGCCGCGUGAAGCCGAGAGCAAUAACAGGUCAGUGAUGCCCUCAGAUGUUCGGGGCCGCACGCGCGCUACACUGUUUGCAUCAGCGUGUUUCUCCCGCGCCGGCUGGCGCGGGCAACCCGUUGAACCGCAAACGUGCUAGGGAUCGGAGAUUGCAAUUGUUCUCCGUGAACGAGGAAUUCCUUGUACUGGCGAGUCAUCAGCUCGCGGGGAAUCUGUCCCUGCCCUUUGUACACACCGCCCGUCGCUACUACCGAUUGAGUGGUUUAGUGAGGCUCACGGACUGCGCGCGGCACACGACGCUUUCGGGCGGCGCGUCGCGAGGCGGAAAGUGAGACGAACUUGAUCACUUCUAGGAAGUAAAAGUCGUAACAAGGUUUUCGUAGUGACGCGGGAAAAGAGAUCAUACGAAAACCUUGUUACGACUUUUACUUCCUAGAAGUGAUCAAGUUCGUCUCCUUUCGCUCGCGACGCGCGCGAAGCGUGUGGUGCGCGCGCAGUCGUGAGCUUCCUAAACACUCAUCGGUAGUAGCGACGGGCGGGUGUGGUACAAACGGCAGGGUAAGAUUUCGGUAGCUGAUGACUGCGGUUAAGGAGUUUCUGUCGGCAGAACAUUGCAUCUCGCUCAUCAUUUGAUGUACGGGAUUGGCGCGCCCUUAGACCAUAUGAACGAGUCUGUCGAGGCAUCAAAUAUAGGUGAGUGUCGUAGUGUCUCAGACGAUAGCGAUCUACGCAGA
rnacentral:rRNA from 1 species